CUCCGGUGCCUAUAUCAAAACCUCUCACAAUAUCUCCAUUUAUGUUAUUUUUCGGAAUGAUGUCAGAGAGAAGAUCGUCAAUCCAAUGGAUGUAGUUGGAUCUGGGAACUGUAGGGCAGAGUUGCCCAUCAGGAAUCCACCAAUUGAGGCCAUGAUCAUGGAGAAGCAAAACCCGAGUGAGCUCCCGGGUGGAGUUAAAGUCGGUCCAGUCAAUUCUGGGUCUACCAUCAGGAGAAUAGAAUACAUAGGGCUUAAAAGAAGGGUAGAGAGAAGCAAGGAGAGAAAAAUCAGGUGGGUUAUCUGCAUAUUUGUUCUUGGGGUGGAUGGUUGGUCGAUCGGGUCUCUUCCUCUUGCUCUUUUUCUUGCUCGGCAUUUUCUUUUUUCUGCUUUGGACAGGGAUGACAACAGGAAGGUACCCGUAAAAUUUGAAGUAUCCAAAUCUGAACCCUUGUGAUAUAUAAGUUACCCGAAAAGGUCCUGGUUGACAGUCUUUGACCCAACAAAAGCUUCAAUCUU
rnacentral:misc_RNA from 1 species